GGGUUGUGAGGUUAAGCGACUAAGCGUACACGGUGGAUGCCCUGGCAGUCAGAGGCGAUGAAGGACGUGCUAAUCUGCGAAAAGCGUCGGUAAGGUGAUAUGAACCGUUAUAACCGGCGAUGUCCGAAUGGGGAAACCCAGUGCAAUUCGUUGCACUAUCGUUAACUGAAUACAUAGGUUAACGAGGCGAACCGGGGGAACUGAAACAUCUAAGUACCCCGAGGAAAAGAAAUCAACCGAGAUUCCCCCAGUAGCGGCGAGCGAACGGGGAGCAGCCCAGAGUCUGAAUCAGCUUGUGUGUUAGUGGAACGGUCUGGAAAGUCCGACGGUACAGGGUGAUAGUCCCGUACACCAAAAUGCACAGGCUGUGAACUCGAAGAGUAGGGCGGGACACGUGGUAUCCUGUCUGAAUAUGGGGGGACCAUCCUCCAAGGCUAAAUACUCCUGACUGACCGAUAGUGAACCAGUACCGUGAGGGAAAGGCGAAAAGAACCCCGGCGAGGGGAGUGAAAAAGAACCUGAAACCGUGUACGUACAAGCAGUGGGAGCACCUUCGGGUGUGACUGCGUACCUUUUGUAUAAUGGGUCAGCGACUUAUAUUCUGUAGCAAGGUUAACCGUAUAGGGGAGCCGCAGGGAAACCGAGUCUUAACUGGGCGUUAAGUUGCAGGGUAUAGACCCGAAACCCGGUGAUCUAGCCAUGGGCAGGUUGAAGGUUGGGUAACACUAACUGGAGGACCGAACCGACUAAUGUUGAAAAAUUAGCGGAUGACUUGUGGCUGGGGGUGAAAGGCCAAUCAAACCGGGAGAUAGCUGGUUCUCCCCGAAAGCUAUUUAGGUAGCGCCUCGUGAAUUCAUCUUCGGGGGUAGAGCACUGUUUCGGCUAGGGGGUCAUCCCGACUUACCAACCCGAUGCAAACUACGAAUACCGAAGAAUGUUAUCACGGGAGACACACGGCGGGUGCUAACGUCCGUCGUGAAGAGGGAAACAACCCAGACCGCCAGCUAAGGUCCCAAAGUCAUGGUUAAGUGGGAAACGAUGUGGGAAGGCACAGACAGCCAGGAUGUUGGCUUAGAAGCAGCCAUCAUUUAAAGAAAGCGUAAUAGCUCACUGGUCGAGUCGGCCUGCGCGGAAGAUGUAACGGGGCUAAACCAUGCACCGAAGCUGCGGCAGCGACACUAUGUGUUGUUGGGUAGGGGAGCGUUCUGUAAGCCUGCGAAGGUGACCUGUGAGGGUUGCUGGAGGUAUCAGAAGUGCGAAUGCUGACAUAAGUAACGAUAAAGCGGGUGAAAAGCCCGCUCGCCGGAAGACCAAGGGUUCCUGUCCAACGUUAAUCGGGGCAGGGUGAGUCGACCCCUAAGGCGAGGCCGAAAGGCGUAGUCGAUGGGAAACAGGUUAAUAUUCCUGUACUUGGUGUUACUGCGAAGGGGGGACGGAGAAGGCUAUGUUAGCCGGGCGACGGUUGUCCCGGUUUAAGCAUGUAGGCUGGUUGUCCAGGCAAAUCCGGAUAAUCAAGGCUGAGGUGUGAUGACGAGGCACUACGGUGCUGAAGUAACAAAUGCCCUGCUUCCAGGAAAAGCCUCUAAGCAUCAGGUAACAUUAAAUCGUACCCCAAACCGACACAGGUGGUCAGGUAGAGAAUACCAAGGCGCUUGAGAGAACUCGGGUGAAGGAACUAGGCAAAAUGGUGCCGUAACUUCGGGAGAAGGCACGCUGGUGUGUAGGUGAAGUCCCUGCGGAUGGAGCUGAGACCAGUCGAAGAUACCAGCUGGCUGCAACUGUUUAUUAAAAACACAGCACUGUGCAAACACGAAAGUGGACGUAUACGGUGUGACGCCUGCCCGGUGCCGGAAGGUUAAUUGAUGGGGUUAUCCGUAAGGAGAAGCUCUUGAUCGAAGCCCCGGUAAACGGCGGCCGUAACUAUAACGGUCCUAAGGUAGCGAAAUUCCUUGUCGGGUAAGUUCCGACCUGCACGAAUGGCGUAAUGAUGGCCAGGCUGUCUCCACCCGAGACUCAGUGAAAUUGAACUCGCUGUGAAGAUGCAGUGUACCCGCGGCAAGACGGAAAGACCCCGUGAACCUUUACUAUAGCUUGACACUGAACAUUGAGCCUUGAUGUGUAGGAUAGGUGGGAGGCUUUGAAGCGUGGACGCCAGUCUGCGUGGAGCCAACCUUGAAAUACCACCCUUUAAUGUUUGAUGUUCUAACGUUGGCCCCUGACCGGGGUUGCGGACAGUGUCUGGUGGGUAGUUUGACUGGGGCGGUCUCCUCCCAAAGCGUAACGGAGGAGCACGAAGGUUAGCUAAUCCUGGUCGGACAUCAGGAGGUUAGUGCAAUGGCAUAAGCUAGCUUGACUGCGAGCGUGACGGCGCGAGCAGGUGCGAAAGCAGGUCAUAGUGAUCCGGUGGUUCUGAAUGGAAGGGCCAUCGCUCAACGGAUAAAAGGUACUCCGGGGAUAACAGGCUGAUACCGCCCAAGAGUUCAUAUCGACGGCGGUGUUUGGCACCUCGAUGUCGGCUCAUCACAUCCUGGGGCUGAAGUAGGUCCCAAGGGUAUGGCUGUUCGCCAUUUAAAGUGGUACGCGAGCUGGGUUUAGAACGUCGUGAGACAGUUCGGUCCCUAUCUGCCGUGGGCGCUGGAGAAUUGAGGGGGGCUGCUCCUAGUACGAGAGGACCGGAGUGGACGCAUCACUGGUGUUCGGGUUGUCAUGCCAAUGGCACUGCCCGGUAGCUAAAUGCGGAAGAGAUAAGUGCUGAAAGCAUCUAAGCACGAAACUUGCCCCGAGAUGAGUUCUCCCUGAGACUUUAAGUCUCCUGAAGGAACGUUAAAGACGAUGACGUUGAUAGGCCGGGUGUGUAAGCGCAGCGAUGCGUUGAGCUAACCGGUACUAAUGAACCGUGAGGCUUAACCUUACAACGCCGAAG
rnacentral:rRNA from 2 species